GGGAAGUCAAAAAAUAUACUUUACUUAUUAUCAAAAAAAUUAUAUUUUGCUUUAAAUAUUGGUAAGACGCACCACCACUUAUAUUUUUUUGAAAUUAUUUUUGCCACACCAGCUUUUAGGGUGGAACUAAAUUCAGUAUGAACAAGUAUAGGAUGGAAAAACGAUACCUAUAAAGGUUGGGAUGGAAACUCACUUUUCGGUACAAGUUCAGGGAGAAACUUAUGCAUUUUCCCUAAAUAUAAUAACUAGGGUUAUUAUGAGACAUUUUGUCUGAAAAAAUGCUACACUUAGAGUAUUGAAUACAUCAUUACUUUGGAAGCUUUUGAAGAGCUUGUCUUAAAAAAAUGCUACACUUAGAGUACUGAAUACAUCAUUACUUUGGAAGCUUUUGAAGAGAGAAUCUUGUCAUUUUUUUAAGCUUUAUGACUUUAUUUAUUGUUUUAUUCUUGGAUUCUAGUAUGAGUAGAUAGUUUUAUAACCGUUUUUUAAAUAAUAGCCGAAUAUAUAUUAUGUAUACAAAAUUAUAUAAAUUUUAUAUAUUUUUUCUGCUGUAAAAUAUAAAUAGUUUGUAGCACGAAGUAAAAGUGAUAAUAUCCCAUAAUUAUUCGAUUUAUAUACUUUAUAUCAACUAGUAUCUAUGAACGUGUGUUGCAUGUUAAUAAUGGCAUAUGAUGAUUUAAAUAUUUAUUUAUAUGAAAGAACAUUAAAUUUUAAUUAAAGGAAAAUUAUAUAUAUAUAUANNNNNNNNNNNNNNNNNNNNNNNNNNNNNNNNNNNNNNNNNNNNNNNNNNNNNNNNNNNNNNNNNNNNNNNNNNNNNNNNNNNNNNNNNNNNNNNNNNNNNNNNNNNNNNNNNNUAUAUAUAUAUAUAUAUAUAUAUAUAUAUAUAUAUAAUACUACAAUAAUCGUCUAAAUGCCAAAAUUGUAGUAUGAGUACAACCAUCCCCAUGUACUCAAUAAGUAAAUAACCUAACCUUAGGUUGAAAGUAGUGACGCACUGGGACAAGGUCAGACUCCAACUUCAAUAACCAGCCACCGUUCAUAACAAUAUAAUAAAAUGGUACAAGAAAAUAACUCAGAGAUAAUAUUCUCACAUCGUUCAAAGUUGCAGAAAAUAGGCAUGAUUUUCAAGUAUAAUAGUAAAUUCCUAAUCUUUCAGCGAAAACACCAAAAACAUAUAAUUUAAAAACUGUGAUUUUUCCCCAAAAGCCUUUCAACAAUAAAUAAGAUGUUUUAGUUUCUGAUAGCAUGAGCAAAGUACAUCUCUAUUCCUACAUGUCAAUAUACAGGUGACAUCAUAAAUGUUAUCAAAAUCGGGUAGCGUGAGGAAAUGCAUCUCUAUGCAUGUACCUUAAGUAUACAUGCCAAAUAUAAUGCACCUAAGUGAUGAAAUCAUGUAGUCACACUCUCAGAGUACUCAAUAUCUUUGUCUUGUAUUCUCACUCACCAUGUUCGAUACCCAGCAUACUCAGUAACUCAGUACUGUACAGGCCAGAUCCAGCCCAGGGCAGAUGAUAUAUUGUAGAAUUGCGACACUUUUGACACUAAUUACAUAUGUUGUAGCUCAUUUUUAAAGCAUUUUAAGUCAAUCCUUAUCUAGAUUUGGUGUUUUGCGGCAAACUAGACUUGAAGAACCAAAAACAAAAAAAAAUGACAAAAACCCAUAGAAGGUCAGAAAUACGGCAGGUUUGCGACCACAAAAGUGAUGUGCGGGCAAACCAACUGAAAAAUAAAGCAGAUUAACCCAGCUAUGAGAGUGUAUUUUGUGGACCAUUAUACGAUCACAUAAUGCUUGUGCGGACCGUAUAAUGACUGCACUAGUGCAAAUAGAUUUUCUGCAAGAAUGAUUAUGCAGUACCAAAUGCUAUCAUAAAAUUGAUGUGCAGACCACAUAAUAGAUGUGCGAUGAACAACUGGGCAACUGGACAUUCAAUUACGUGGUGCAAAUUGUAGUUAUACGUGCCGCGAAAUUGUUAUGCGAUUCAUUCUGCAUUCGCAGAUGUGAUCUGUAGGGUUAUUUUUAUUAUAUUUUGACCCCGACUUUUAGACCAUUAUAAAUAGAAGGGAUAAUACAUAAGAUGCUCCCGGAACUUGUACCGAAAAUUGAGUUUCCAUCCCAACCUUUACGAGUGUUGUAAUACUUCCCUAUACUUGUACAAAGUGAAUUUAAUACCACCUUAUGAAGCAUAAUACCACUUUCAUGGCCUGGGGUAUUCCACACGCGCAUGUCAUAUCAGUGCCACAUCAACGCCAUUCCAGAAAUGCAAUAAAUUAAUCUUUUUGACUAUUUUUCUAUUUUUCAUUAACAUAUUCUUCUUCUUCUUUUUUUCAUACCUACCACCAAAACCUUCAUUAUCAACGGGUUCAUAGCUUUGAUUUCAUUUGAAUGAAUUAAUUUGUUUAGUCCAAAGAGAAAAAAGGUCAAGAAAGAAAUGAAAUUUACUACACAAAAUUUGUGAUGCCAUAGGUUGGUGAUAAGGGGGUCGAGAUCUAGUUGGGAUUUGUUUGUUGAAUCACCGGAAAAAUAGCCGACAGAACUGAAGAAAGAAAUAGGAAAGUUUUCCAGAGGAAUCUAAAAGUUUGCCGGAGGAAGUUGAAAGUUGAAGAAAAAUAAAGGAAAACGAGCAAGAAUCUGCUCUUAAAAAGGAGUGUAGCGAAAAUGGAAAAGAAAGAAAUGGGGUUGAGAUGGAGAAGAAAGAGGGGGGUUUUUUUCGGGGGGGAAUGUGAGGAUGAAGCGAAAAAGGGAGAAGGGGAGGGGAAGUCAAAAAAUAUACUUUACUUAUUAUCAAAAAAAUUAUAUUUUGCUUUAAAUAUUGGUAAGACGCACCACCACUUAUAUUUUUUUGAAAUUAUUUUUGCCACACCAGCUUUUAGGGUGGAACUAAAUUCAGUAUGAACAAUCAAAAAAAUUAUUUUUUGCUUUAAAUUUUGGUAAGACGCACCACCACUUAAAUUUUUUUGAAAUUAUUUUUGCCACGCCAGCUUUUAGGGUGGAACUAAAUUCAGGAUGAACAAGUAUAGGAUGGAAAAACGAUACCUAUAAAGGUUGGGAUGGAAACUCACUUUUCGGUACAAGUUCAGGGAGAAACUUAUGCAUUUUCCCUAAAUAUAAUAACUAGGGUUAUUAUGAGACAUCUUGUCUUAAAAAAAUGCUACACUUAGAGUACUGAAUACAUCAUUACUUUGGAAGCUUUUGAAGAGA
rnacentral:lncRNA from 1 species